rnacentral:rRNA from 1 species
CCUACGGGACGCAGCAGUGGGGAAUAUUGCGCAAUUGGCGAAAGCCUGACGCAGCGACGCCGCGUGAGGGAUGAAGGUCUUCGGAUCGUAAACCUCUGUCAGCAGGGAAGAACGGUCACUGUGCUAAUCAGCAGUGAAUUGACGGUACCUGCAAAGGAAGCACCGGCUAACUCCGUGCCAGCCGCCGCGGUAAUACGGAGGGUGCGAGCGUUAAUCGGAAUUACUGGGCGUAAAGCGCUCGUAGGCGGUAUGUCAAGUCAAGGGUGAAAUCCCCGCGCUCAACGUGGGAACUGCCUUUGAAACGGGCAAACUGGAGUGUGUGAGAGGAUAGUGGAAUUCCAGGUGUAGGAGUGAAAUCCGUAGAUAUCUGGCGGAACAUCAGUGGCGAAGGCGACUAUCUGGCACAUAACUGACGCUGAGGAGCGAAAGCGUGGGUAGCAAACAGGAUUAGAUACCCCAGUAGUC